AUUGAACGCUGGCGGCAGGCCUAACACAUGCAAGUCGAGCGAGCGGCGGACGGGUGAGUAAUGUCUGGGAAACUGCCUGAUGGAGGGGGAUAACUACUGGAAACGGUAGCUAAUACCGCAUACCAUCAGAUGUGCCCAGAAGGGAUUAGCUAGGAGGUGGGGUAACGGCCCACUUAGGCGACGAUCCCUAGCUGGUCUGAGAGGAUGACCAGCCACACUGGAACGGAGACACGGUCCAGACUCGUACGGGAGUCAGCAGUGGGGAAUAUUGCACAAGGGGCGCAAGCCUGAUGCAGUCAUGCCGCGUGUGUGAAGAAGGCCUUCGGGUUGUAAAGUACUUUCAGCGGGGAGGCGUUACCCGCAGAAGAAGCACCGGCUAACUCCGUGCCAGCAGCCGCGGUAAAC
rnacentral:rRNA from 1 species